AGCAGCCGCGGUAAUUCCAGCUCCAAUAGCGUAUAUUAAAGUUGUUGCAGUUAAAAAGCUCGUAGUUGAAUUUCAGGCCUGGCUGGACGGUCCGCCCUUCGGGUGAGUACUGUCUGUGGUCGGGUCCUACCUUCUGGCGAAGCGUCAUGGCCUAAACCGGCCGUGGCGGGGAACCAGGACUUUUACUGUGAAAAAAUUAGGGUGUUCAAAGCAGGCAAUCGCUUGGAUACAUUAGCAUGGAAUAAUGGAAUAGGACAAUGGUUCUAUUUGUUGGUUUCUAGGACCGUUGUAAUGAUUAAUAGGGAUAGUUGGGGGCAUUAGUAUUCAAUUGUCAGAGGUGAAAUUCUUGGAUUUAUUGAAGACUAACUACUGCGAAAGCAUUUGCCAAGGAUGUUUUCAUUAAUCAAGAACGAAAGUUAGGGGAUCGAAGACGAUCAGAUACCGUCGUAGUCUUAACCAUAAACUAUGCCGACUAGGGAUCGGAUGAUGUUAAUUUUUUAAUGACCCAUUCGGCGCCUUA
rnacentral:rRNA from 1 species